UCCAGAGCCUCUUCGAAACUUCAUUGCUGGCCAUCUGCUGGGACGUCGCUAGAAAAAGAAAAAAAAAUAUAUAUAUAAAGAGAAGCUGUCUUCAAUGGGCUGAGGGUCUUGGAUACAACCUGGACAGCUUGUAUAAGCUUCAUCUACAUUGGCAAACCACAGAGGGAGACUGAAAAAUUACACAGUGAAUGAAAAGAGCCAAAACAGAAUAUAUUAUCAUGUUUAGCAGUAUGAAGACUUCUAAAAACAUAAGCUUCAAAAGAAGAGAGAAAAGUGAAUCUUCCUUCAUGGUGGAAGUGAGCCUUCAAUGAAAAAAGAAUAUUUGAGGUGUCCAUGGUUCAUAUGGCUUUCUGGCAGAAAGUAUACAAUGGAAGAAUGGGUAUUAAAAAAAAAGAAUGUCUUCAGAAUUAAAAAUACAAACUCUGGGCUAGUACUAUUUAUCAAUGUUAAAAAUUUUGGUGCAGUUUAGACCCAUGAUCACUUAAGUGUAGGGAAUUCUCAGUGUGAAAAUUAUCUCUAGCAAUGUGGAUCAAUACAAAUCCAAAAGUCAAUUACCCAGCCUUCCAUAAUUAGGAUGUAUGUCAGAGACAGAAUGUGUCCCAGUUAUGAGUUU